rnacentral:rRNA from 1 species
AACGAACGCUGGCGGCAUGCCUAACACAUGCAAGUCGAACGAGAUCUUCGGGUCUAGUGGCGCACGGGUGCGUAACGCGUGGGAAUCUGCCCUUUGGUUCGGAAUAACAGUUGGAAACGACUGCUAAUACCGGAUGAUGACGAAAGUCCAAAGAUUUAUCGCCAGAGGAUGAGCCCGCGUAGGAUUAGCUAGUUGGUGUGGUAAAGGCGCACCAAGGCGACGAUCCUUAGCUGGUCUGAGAGGAUGAUCAGCCACACUGGGACUGAGACACGGCCCAGACUCCUACGGGAGGCAGCAGUGGGGAAUAUUGGACAAUGGGCGAAAGCCUGAUCCAGCAAUGCCGCGUAAGCGAUGAAGGCCUUAGGGUUGUAAAGCUCUUUUACCCGGGAUGAUAAUGACAGUACCGGGAGAAUAAGCUCCGGCUAACUCCGUGCCAGCCGCCGCAGUAA